CCUACGGGAGGCAGCAGUGAGGAAUAUUGGUCAAUGGCCGCAGGGCUGAACCAGCCAAGUCGCGUGAGGGAUGACGGUCCUAUGGAUUGUAAACCUCUUUUGUCAGGGAGCAAAGGGCGCCACGUGUGGCGCUUUGCGAGUACCUGAAGAAAAAGCAUCGGCUAACUCCGUGCCAGCAGCCGCGGUAAUACGGAGGAUGCGAGCGUUAUCCGGAUUUAUUGGGUUUAAAGGGUGCGCAGGCGGAAUGCCAAGUCAGCGGUAAAAUUUCGGGGCUCAACCCCGUCGUGCCGUUGAAACUGGCGUUCUUGAGUGAGCGAGAAGUAUGCGGAAUGCGUGGUGUAGCGGUGAAAUGCAUAGAUAUCACGCAGAACUCCGAUUGCGAAGGCAGCAUACCGGCGCUCAACUGACGCUCAUGCACGAAAGCGUGGGUAUCGAACAGGAUUAGAUACCCCGGUAGUC
rnacentral:rRNA from 1 species